GACGUAGGGCGCGAGCGUUGUCCGGAUUUAUUGGGCGUAAAGCGCACGCAGGCGGCUCUUCAAGUCUGACGUGAAAUCUCUCGGCUUAACCGGGAGCGGUCGUUGGAAACUGAAGGGCUUGAGGCGAUGAGAGGGGUGUGGAAUUCCCGGUGUAGUGGUGGAAUGCGUAGAUAUCGGGAGGAACACCAAUGGCGAAAGCAGCUUUCUGGGACGGUACUGACGCUGAGACGCGAAAGCGUGGGGAGCGAACAGG
rnacentral:rRNA from 1 species